CCGAGAGCAUCGCGUUGCUAUGGCAACACAACCCACUUCCCCUGGGACCGCGUUGCCUCGGCGACAUCAGGCGGGCAACUGCCGGCGGGUUAAAUCGACUCAGAGCAGCUGCCCCCUGAAAAACAGGACAGCCCUGGCCUCCGGGAGCAUGGGAGACCAGAGGUUCAUCUCACCAGAGCCUGGGAAUGUAGAACAGCCAUGUGACUAAUGUGAUUAUCAGCUCUGUCAGAAAGAAAAAUUAGACACGAAAAUCAAGAUGAGCAUCUUCCAUGGACACCUCACUUCAAGAUCUUACCAUUAUUCCAAGCAAAGCUUUAGCAGAUCAUUCAAAUUUAAUUAUAGAAGGACCUGUAGAAGACAGAUUAUCAGCCAGCUACUCAAUAAAGAAACUUUUGAGCAUAUUUUGUAAUCAAUAC